rnacentral:rRNA from 1 species
AGAUUGAACGCUAGCGGGAUGCUUUACACAUGCAAGUCGAACGGCAGCGCGGACUUCGGUCUGGCGGCGAGUGGCGAACGGGUGAGUAAUAUAUCGGAACGUGCCCAGUAGCGGGGGAUAACUACGCGAAAGCGUGGCUAAUACCGCAUACGCCCUACGGGGGAAAGGGGGGGAUUCUUCGGAACCUCUCACUAUUGGAGCGGCCGAUAUCAGAUUAGCUAGUUGGUGAGGUAAAGGCUCACCAAGGCGACGAUCUGUAGCUGGUUUGAGAGGACGACCAGCCACACUGGGACUGAGACACGGCCCAGACUCCUACGGGAGGCAGCGAGUGGGAAUUUGGACAAUGGGGGAAACCCUGACUCCAGCCAUCCCGCGUGUGCGAUGAAGGCCUUGGUUGUAAGUCUACGUUUU